rnacentral:rRNA from 1 species
AACGUAGGACGCAAGCGUUAUCCGGAGUUACUGGGCGUAAAGGGCAGGCAGGCGGGUCGAUAAGUCGGAUGUGAAAUCUCCCUGGCUUAACCGGGAGAGUGCAUUUGAGACUGUCAACCUGGAGGGCAGCAGAGGAGCGUGGAAUUCCGGGUGUAGUGGUGAAAUGCGUAGAGAUCCGGAGGAACACCAGUGGCGAAGGCGACACGCUGGGCCGUACCUGACACUGAUGCGCGACAGCAUGGGGAGCAAACAGG